rnacentral:rRNA from 1 species
GACGAACGCUGGCGGCGUGCCUAAUACAUGCAAGUAGAACGGUGAGGGAGGAGCUUGCUCUUCUGCAUGAGUUGCGAACGGGUGAGUAACGCGUAGGUAACCUGCCUUGUAGCGGGGGAUAACUUCUGGAAACGAUAGCUAAUACCGCAUAAGAGUAGAUGCUGCAUGACAGUUACUUAAAAGGUUCAAUUGCAUCACUACCAGAUGGACCUGCGGUGUAUUAGGUAGUUGGUGGGGUAACGGCUUACCAAGGCGGCGAUACAUACCCGACCCGGGGGGGGGGACGGCCAACACGGGAAUGGGACACGGCCCAGACCCCCUCGGGAGGGAGCAGGAGGGAAACCUCGGGAAUGGAAGGAAGGCCGACCGAGCCACGCCGGGGGAGGGGAUAAGGGUUUCGGGUCCGAAAGACCCGUUGUACGGGGAGAAAGAGUGUGAGGGUGGAAAGUCGACACUGUGACGGUAUCUGACCAGAAAGCGACGGCUAACUACGUG